CCCUCCCUUUAUUUUUGUGAAUUUUGGUGAGAGAGUCUUAAAAAACUUGGGCUCUCUGAGUCAUGGUUUAUCUAGUUUAAAUUUGAUCUCAAUCAGAUUUAAAUUGAGUCCGAAAUGAGUCAAAUUCAAAAAGACUGUUAAGCCUGAUCCAAUCAAGCUUGAAAUCCAAAUCUGAUUUGAAGAAUUGAACCCAAUUAAUAUUAAAU
rnacentral:lncRNA from 1 species